UACGAAGGGGGCGAGCGUUGUUCGGAUUUACUGGGCGUAAAGGGCGCGCAGGCGGCUUUGUAAGUUAGAGGUGAAAGCCCGGGGCUCAACUCCGGAAUUGCCUUUAAGACUGCAUCGCUAGAAUUGUGGAGAGGUAAGUGGAAUUCCGAGUGUAGAGGUGAAAUUCGUAGAUAUUCGGAAGAACACCAGUGGCGAAGGCGACUUACUGGACACAUAUUGACGCUGAGGUGCGAAAGCGUGGGGAGCAAACAGG
rnacentral:rRNA from 1 species